rnacentral:rRNA from 1 species
GACGAACGCUGGCGGCGUGCCUAAUACAUGCAAGUUGAGCGAUGAAGAUUGGUGCUUGCACCAAUUUGAAGAGCAGCGAACGGGUGAGUAACGCGUGGGGAAUCUGCCUUUGAGCGGGGGACAACAUUUGGAAACGAAUGCUAAUACCGCAUAACAACUUUAAACACAAGUUUUAAGUUUGAAAGAUGCAAUUGCAUCACUCAAAGAUGAUCCCGCGUUGUAUUAGCUAGUUGGUGAGGUAAAGGCUCACCAAGGCGAUGAUACAUAGCCGACCUGAGAGGGUGAUCGGCCACAUUGGGACUGAGACACGGCCCAAACUCCUACGGGAGGCAGCAGUAGGGAAUCUUCGGCAAUGGACGAAAGUCUGACCGAGCAACGCCGCGUGAGUGAAGAAGGUGUUCGGAUCGUAAAACUCUGUUGGUAGAGAAGAACGUUGGUGAGAGUGGAAAGCUCAUCAAGUGACGGUAACUACCCAGAAAGGGACGGCUAACUACGUGC